rnacentral:rRNA from 1 species
GACGAAUGCUGGCUGCGUGCUUAACACAUGCAAGUCGAACGGUGAAGGAGAGCUUGCUCUCCGGAUCAGUGGCGAACGGGUGAGUAACACGUGGGCAACCUGCCCCUCACUCUGGGAUAACGCCGGGAAACCGGCGCUAAUACCGGAUACGACCAGGCGCGACAUCUCGCCUGGUGGAAAGAAUUUCGGUGAGGGAUGGGCCCGCGGCCUAUCAGUUUGUUGGUGGGGUAACGGCCCACCUAGGCAACGACGGGUAGCUGGUUUGAGAGAACGAUCAGCCACACUGGGACAGAGACAAGGCCCAGACUCCUACGGGAGGCAGCAGUGGGGAAUCUUGCGCAAGGGGCGAAAGCCUGACGCAGCAACGCCGCGUGCGGGAUGACGGCCUUCGUGGUUGUAAACCGCUUUCAGCAGGGACGAAAAUGACGGUACCUGCAGAAGAAGCCCCGGCUAACUACGUGCCAGCAGCCGCCGUAAUAC